rnacentral:rRNA from 1 species
UACGUAGGAGACGAGCGUUGUCCGGAAUCACUGGGCGUAAAGCGCGUGUAGGCGGAUGGGCAUGUCUGCUGUGAAAACUCCUGGCUUAACCGGGAGAGGUCGGUGGAAACUGCUCGUCUGGAGGACGGUAGAGGCUGGUGGAAUUCCCGGUGUAGUGGUGAAAUGCGUAGAGAUCGGGAGGAACACCUGUGGCGAAGGCGGCCAGCUGGGCCGGACCUGACGCUGAGACGCGAAGGCGUGGGGAGCGAACGGG